rnacentral:rRNA from 1 species
AGUGAACGCUGGCGGUAGGCCUAACACAUGCAAGUCGAACGGCAGCACAGUAAGAGCUUGCUCUUACGGGUGGCGAGUGGCGGACGGGUGAGGAAUACAUCGGAAUCUACUUUUUCGUGGGGGAUAACGUAGGGAAACUUACGCUAAUACCGCAUACGACCUACGGGUGAAAGCAGGGGAUCUUCGGACCUUGCGCGAUUGAAUGAGCCGAUGUCGGAUUUGCUAGUUGGCGGGGUAAAGGCCCACCAAGGCGACGAUCCGUAGCUGGUCUGAGAGGAUGAACAGCCACACGGGAACUGAGACACGGUCCAGACUCCUACGGGAGGCAGCAGUGGGGAAUAUUGGACAAUGGGCGCAAGCCUGAUCCAGCCAUACCGCGUGGGUGAAGAAGGCCUUCGGGUUGUAAAGCCCUUUUGUUGGGAAAGAAAAGCAGCAGGUUAAUACCCCGCUGUUCUGACGGUACCCAAAGAAUAAGCACCGGCUAACUUCGUG